rnacentral:rRNA from 1 species
UAGGGAAGUCUUCCACAAUGGACGGAAAGUACUGAUGGAGCAACGCCGCGUGAGUGAAGAAGGGUUUCGGCUCGUAAAACUCUGUUGUUAAAGAAGAACAUAUCUGGGAGUAACUGUUCAGGUAUUGACGGUAUUUAACCAGAAAGCCACGGCUAACUACGUGCCAG